rnacentral:rRNA from 1 species
ACACUGGAACUGAGACACGGUCCAGACUCCUACGGGAGGCAGCAGUGGGGAAUAUUGCACAAUGGAGGAAACUUUGAUGCAGCAACGCCGCGUGGAGGAUGACACUUUUCGGAGCGUAAACUCCUUUUAUAUAGGAAGAUAAUGACGGUACUAUAUGAAUAAGCACCGGCUAACUCCGUGCCAGCAGCCGCGGUAAUACGGAGGGUGCAAGCGUUACUCGGAAUCACUGGGCGUAAAGAGCGUGUAGGCGGGUUAUUAAGUCAGAAGUGAAAUCCUAUGGCUCAACCAUAGAACUGCUUUUGAAACUGGUAACCUAGAGUAUGGGAGAGGUAGAUGGAAUUUCUGGUGUAGGGGUAAAAUCCGUAGAGAUCAGAAGGAAUACCGAUUGCGAAGGCGAUCUACUGGAACAUUACUGACGCUGAGACGCGAAAGCGUGGGGAGCAAACAGGAUUAGAUACCCUGGUAGUCCACGCCCUAAACGAUGUACACUAGUUGUUGCCAUGCUAGACAUGGCAGUAAUGCAGUUAACACAUUAAGUGUACCGCCUGGGGAGUACGGUCGCAAGAUUAAAACUCAAAGGAAUAGACGGGGACCCGCACAAGCGGUGGAGCAUGUGGUUUAAUUCGACGAUACGCGAAGAACCUUACCUGGACUUGACAUUUACAGAACUUUCAAGAGAUUGAUUGGUGUCUGCUUGCAGAAACUGUAGGACAGGUGCUGCACGGCUGUCGUCAGCUCGUGUCGUGAGAUGUUGGGUUAAGUCCCGCAACGAGCGCAACCCACGUCGUUAGUUGCUAACAGUUCGGCUGAGAACUCUAACGAGACUGCCUGGGCAACCAGGAGGAAGGUGUGGACGACGUCAAGUCAUCAUGGCCCUUACGUCCAGGGCUACACACGUGCUACAAUGGGGUAUACAAAGAGCCGCGAUACCGCGAGGUGGAGCAAAUCUCAAAAAUAUCUCCCAGUUCGGAUUGUACUCUGCAACUCGAGUGCAUGAAGUUGGAAUCGCUAGUAAUCGUAGAUCAGCAAUGCUACGGUGAAUACGUUCCCGGGUCUUGUACUCACCGCCCGUCACACCAUGGGAGUU